rnacentral:rRNA from 1 species
UACAGAGGGGGCAAGCGUUGUUCGGAAUUACUGGGCGUAAAGGGCGCGUAGGCGGCCUUCUAAGUCGAACGUGAAAUCCCCGGGCUCAACCCGGGAACUGCGUCCGAUACUGGGAGGCUUGAAUCCGGGAGAGGGAUGCAGAAUUCCAGGUGUAGCGGUGAAAUGCGUAGAUAUCUGGAGGAAUACCGGUUGCGAAGGCGGCAUCCUGGACCGGCAUUGACGCUGAGGGGCGAAAGCCAGGGGAGCAAACGGG